UCUUGAUUUUCCUGCAAGACAGGUAACAAAAUGAAUAACUUCAACACAACAUCCUCCAAUGUGAACAGAGAUCUUGGCUUGUGAUUGGGUCUGAUUAGCUCUAUCAUGUAAAUAUCUCCUCUUCAAUGAAUGUCCCACUUCAUAUUGUCUCCCUCAGCUCGCUUGUGGUUUUUACAGCUUAACAGCCCCUGCUUCUCCUGCAUGAACACAUCUUCCUGCCCACAUGCAGGAGGUAAAUAAAUGCCCACAGGCCUCUGCAUCUGGCUCAGCCUUGUGGGAUGCAUUGGAGAGUCUGGGGGAGAUUUUAACUUGUAUACUGUGAAAAUCCUUCCAGAAAGCACUCUGCAGAACCUAGACUGAAGCUAUCAUUUUAACUUGAAGAGUACUUUUAGAAUCAUAACAAUAAAAUAGCAUUAAAUCCAUUAAGAAUCCCACGCAGAACACGAACAGAGGCUGCUGAAUUUCUAACUGACAAAGCCCAGGGGCAGCAGCCAGCCCUGGGACAGGAGUUUUGCAGGAGAGCCCCAGGCUGCUGGGAACAUUCACUGGAUGCAGGAGGGCUUGAGCUGCACAUUCUUUGGAGGGGGUUGUUAGAAAGGUAAUGGGAGACAGAAUUGAGCACUGUGUUCAGCUCUGUUUGUAACUGAUAUAUCUGGUUCUGAUAUUGAGUGCAAAGCAAGUAGGGGAUGGAAACAGCGGUCCCACCACCACAAUGCAGAUCUGAGCUCAGGGGUGCUGAGCUCAAGGAGACAGUGUGACAUCGGCACAGCUGGUGGUGGCACUUCAUCGUCUGUGAUCUGGACUCACAGCUGCAUGUGUGGGUCUCCCAUUUGGGAUGUGGCAGCAAUGGGGGCUGCGUGGGCUCACCUGAGCUGCCUGUCCCGGCACACAGCCACCAUCACCAACAGGUUCCCCAGGAUGGCCAUCAGGAUAACUGCAGAGAUGAAGUACAUCACAGCAGUGAGAAGGGGUAACUGCUCACGGCAUCGCGUGGGGCUGGAAGUAAGAUGGCAUUAAGAGCAGGACUCAACACUGAUUCAGCAGGGAGAUUUCUUCAUUGAGUACAGAGCUGGCAUUUGCUACCUGGGAUUAAUGCAGUGAGAUUGCUCAGGUCACAGCUCAACUUCCCCACAAUUGCAGAGGGAUAAAAUGACCAAGGAACAGCAGAGAGCACCUUGGGCACUGCAGCAUCAUAUGAUGAAGGAGACAGAAAAAAGAGCCGGGGGGGGACAAACAGGACUGCUCUUCUGGGGCAGAGGAGAUGACGCACAGAGCCUGAGUGGCCAGAGAGCCAUUUCCUGACCACAAGAGAAUGACUCUGCCCACAGAGGUGACAUGUAGCAUCUCCUGGAGGCAGCUGGGCACCUCCUGAGCACCUCACAGCAAAACUGCUUGUGUAAUUGAGUCAGAGCCCAGAGCUGUGAGCAUUACCAGUUCCCAUAGACCAGAGCUUGCUCCUCGAUUUAGUAGUGGCCUCAAGGGAAGUGGGGAAUACUGGAGGAGCCCGUCUGCUAACUGC